rnacentral:lncRNA from 1 species
CAUCAGUCCCUGGCAGCAGCAGCCCCAGAAUAUUACCUUUUUGCUUUUAUGCUCGUGUUUCUACUUUAUCUAUCACCAUCCUUAUGGUUGUUUUGGAGUGUGUGACCUUCCAGCGAUCUGUCCUACCAAGGACAACAGCGGCCCUAAGACUUUUGCCGGGAUGGCCAAGAAACUGGGAGGCUGAAGAGAGCUCGAAGUAUGGAGCAUCCCUGCCCUCAGCUGGUAAAUUUCUUGACGUGAAUGAACAGAACUCCUACGUACUGUUUAGGAGAACACUGGCUUCUUGUUGACCUUGGUGAUGCUGGGAGUUACUGCUGCAAUAAAGUUUGCCAAUGUGAUCAAGUUUGCCAAAGGAUCACGUGAUGUUAACUUUCCUCCCUCUAAUUACUAGGGAAAUUGAACAGCUUUUCAGAUCUUCAUUGGUCAUUUAUAUUUUUUAAUGGUAUUUUCAAUUGACAAUAAUUGUUUAUAUUUAUGGGGUACAAUGUGAUGUUUUGAUACAUGUGUAAAUUGCAGAAUGAGUAAAUCAAGCUAAUUAACAUAUCCAUAACUUCAUCUGUGUAUUUUUGUGGGCAUAGUGAGAACACUGAAAAUUUACUCUUAGCAAUUUUGAAAUAUAUAAUACAUUCCGAACUAUGGUCACCCACCAUGCUGUGCCACAGAUCUCAGAAACUUAUUCUCCUGUCUAACCCAAACAUUGUACUCUGUGACCUACAUUGCCCCUUUGCCUCUCCUCCUUAGGUUUAAAUUUGGCCUCUACCAGUUGCUAGUUCUGUCAUUUGGGGUGAGUUGCUUUAAACCCCAGGCCUCAGUUUCCCAAGAAAUCAGCUGUGCCAUCAAAGACAGUGCCUGCAAUCUGCGCAGCUCCUCCCAGGACAGAGAUAUGUGCUGAGCAAUUGAUUGUUAAAUGUGGACCAGAAAGCAGAUCUGCUGGAGCCAACAGCAAGCAGGGUGGUUUCUGAGAAAGGCCUCACCUCGCUUUCGAAGGUUGAGGUUGGAGAGGGUGGGGUGUAUCAGGAUUGAAUCUACUCAUGGGAAAAUAGCCUCUCUGAAUGUGCCCACUGGAUUCCUGCCCUGACCCUGUCCUGGGGUACUGGAUGCCUGCCCCUUAUCAGAGGGCAGUGCCAUGCCCUGUAAAGCACAGUUCAGAUGGCCCUGGCAAUUGGUCCGAGCCGUCCUUCAUUCUGGAAGGGGGCAAAGGCCAGGCCAGCUUCCCAGGGAUCAGGCACUGUGGCUUCACUGGGAACAGAAUGCUCUCUGUACAUGGAGAAUGGUAGAGGCUGGCACUGUCUAAUCUGAGCUCCUGGAUCACCCUGUUCUCGCCCAGAGAGAAGCUGGCUCCAUCUGGGGAUGAGUGAGGGCAGACGUGUCUGGUGGGACAGAGCCUGGGCCACAGCCUUGCACCUGCAGAACCCAUUGUACAAACACACAGUGCAUGGAAGAGGAACCUGCAGCCCAGCACAAAGCUGCUCAAACAGAAACCAAACCAAAAGCUAACCUCAGCCAAUUCAGAGGCAGGUCCACAUCUGAACCAAGAGCUCUCCCAGCAAAUUGGCCUGGAAAGCCCUUCUCACAUCAAGGCAGGAAGAUAAUAAUGACCCUCAUCUUUCAAAAGAGGAAGCUGAGACACUGAGAGGGUAGGUCCCCUGAAGGUCAUACAGCUCUUAAAUGCUGGGGCCAGGAUUCCAACGCAGGCAGGGAGGCCCGGAUCUGAGCUCACAGUGACCACACCCCAGCCUCUGUGAACUGAAUUUACGCAAUGUCUGGGAAGAAAAGGCAGGGUCCACUCCGCUCAGAGCCAUGCAGGGCAGUGUGCUCCCGUCUCCCCGGCAUUUGAAUCACUCUUGUGGUGUGUGUCCAGCACAGAUGCACGGGACCCCUCAGGCCCAUAUCCUCAAACAGGUAGUGGUGGGGCACCAGUGCACGAACACUAGGGCUCAGCAGUCAGCCUGGGCGGGUCACAGUUCCGAUACCCUCCAGGCUGUCUGGGAGGCGGCCUGGCUGUGGGACCAGUUCUCAUGUGAAGCAAUGAAGCCACUCUGAGCUUGGCCCCCUGCCCUGGCAUGGGCACUGGGCUGCCUGUGUGAAACUCUUGUUUCUCCAGGUGCAAGACAAACCUGGCACUCUUUCUGGCUUCUCCAUUCACUUGCCGGGGGCAGGUGGCCAAGCCUGGUUUCAUCUCCUUGGGGGGGAAUGGAAUACUCUCCACAUUCAACCCAAAAACAG